GACGAACGCUGGCGGCGUGCCUAAUACAUGCAAGUUGAGCGCUGAAGGUUGGUACUUGUACCAACUGGAUGAGCAGCGAACGGGUGAGUAACGCGUGGGGAAUCUGCCUUUGAGCGGGGGACAACAUUUGGAAACGAAUGCUAAUACCGCAUAAAAACUUUAAACACAAGUUUUAAGUUUGAAAGAUGCAAUUGCAUCACUCAAAGAUGAUCCCGCGUUGUAUUAGCUAGUUGGUGAGGUAAAGGCUCACCAAGGCGAUGAUACAUAGCCGACCUGAGAGGGUGGUCGGCCACAUUGGGACUGCGACACGGCCCAAACUCCUACGGGAGGCAGCAGUAGGGAAUCUUCGGCAAUGGACGAAAGUCUGACCGAGCAACGCCGCGUGAGUGAAGAAGGUUUUCGGACCGUAAAACUCUGUUGGUAGAGAAGAACGUUGGUGAGAGUGGAAAGCUCAUCAAGUGACGGUAACUACCCAGAAAGGGACGGCUAACUACGUG
rnacentral:rRNA from 1 species